UACGUAGGGGGCUAGCGUUGUCCGGAAUCACUGGGCGUAAAGCGCACGUAGGCGGAUGUGUCAGUCAGGGGUGAAAUCCCGGGGCUCAACCUCGGAACUGCCUUUGAUACAGCACGUCUUGAGUCCGAUAGAGGUGGGUGGAAUUCCUAGUGUAGAGGUGAAAUUCGUAGAUAUUAGGAAGAACACCGGUGGCGAAGGCGGCCCACUGGAUCGGUACUGACGCUGAGGUGCGAAAGCGUGGGGAGCAAACAGG
rnacentral:rRNA from 1 species